rnacentral:rRNA from 1 species
AUUGAACGCUGGCGGCAUGCCUUACACAUGCAAGUCGAACGGUAACAGGUCUUCGGAUGCUGACGAGUGGCGAACGGGUGAGUAAUACAUCGGAACGUGCCCGAUCGUGGGGGAUAACGAAGCGAAAGCUUUGCUAAUACCGCAUAAGAUCUACGGAUGAAAGCAGGGGACCGCAAGGCCUUGCGCGAACGGAGCGGCCGAUGGCAGAUUAGGUAGUUGGUGGGAUAAAAGCUUACCAAGCCGACGAUCUGUAGCUGGUCUGAGAGGACGACCAGCCACACUGGGACUGAGACACGGCCCAGACUCCUACGGGAGGCAGCAGUGGGGAAUUUUGGACAAUGGGCGAAAGCCUGAUCCAGCCAUGCCGCGUGCAGGAUGAAGGCCUUCGGGUUGUAAACUGCUUUUGUACGGAACGAAAAGACUCUUUCUAAUAAAGAGAGUCCAUGACGGUACCGUAAGAAUAAGCACCGGCUAACUACGUGCCAGCAGCCGCCGUAAUAC